rnacentral:lncRNA from 1 species
AGCAAAAGGCGUAUCAAUUAUAUGUAUGAAGACAUAUAAUCGCGAGUAUAUUGCUUGAUUUUAAAAGAUUAGUGUAUCAUCUCACUAAGGUUUUAUCAACAUCAGAAGGAAAACAAAGUACAUCGUCCCUUAGACUCUAACAUCAAAGGGAAGCAGCAAAGAGACUUCAUCAAUGAAACCAUCCCCACCAGCACCAGUCCAAUCUCGCUCCAUUGCUUAGCCUG